rnacentral:rRNA from 1 species
AUUGAACGCUGGCGGCAGGCCUAACACAUGCAAGUCGAGCGGAUGAGUGGAGCUUGCUCCAUGAUUCAGCGGCGGACGGGUGAGUAAUGCCUAGGAAUCUGCCUGGUAGGGGGGGACAACGUUUCGAAAGGAACGCUAAUACCGCAUACGUCCUACGGGAGAAAGGGGGGGAUCUUCGGACCUCACGGUAUCAGAUGAGCCUAGGUCGGAUUAGCUAGUUGGUGAGGUAAAGGCUCACCAAGGCGACGAUCCGUAACUGGUCUGAGAGGAUGAUCAGUCACACUGGAACUGAGACACGGUCCAGACUCCUACGGGAGGCAGCAGUGGGGAAUAUUGGACAAUGGGCGAAAGCCUGAUCCAGCCAUGCCGCGUGUGUGAAGAAGGUCUUCGGAUUGUAAAGCACUUUAAGUUGGGAGGAAGGGCAGUAAGUUAAUACCUUGCUGUUUUGACGUUACCAACAGAAUAAGCACCGGCUAACUUCGUGCCAGCAGCCGCCGCGGUAA